rnacentral:lncRNA from 1 species
GGGGGUUUCUGGGCUGCGGCCUGGUUAUUCCAGGGAGGUUUUUCCUUUUUUUUCUUUUCUUUUCUGGUUUCAAAACCAAUUAUAAACAUUUUUAAAAGCAUUUAAAUUCAGUUAGUAGCUUGUUCAAAAUCACUCAUCUCAAAAAUAAAAUGCACCAGCAUGAUUAACACACAAUUGUUGCUAAGCCUUAUAAUAAAUUUUAUUUUAAAGAAAAAUAUUAUUCUUCCUAUAUUCUCAUGAGCACAAAAAUACAAAAUUAAAUCAUUUUUCACCUAUUUCAAAGGUUGCAAAUUUUUGGGUGUUACAAUUCUACCCUCCUUAAAAGAAUCUCGUCCUCGAGAUUCAGAAGAUGGUGAUCAAAGAGAUGUAGAUACUCCGUUUUUGAACCUUAUUCACUUCCUUGAGUAGCUCCUUCUUAGUAACCAUUCUAUUGCCUUUGUCACUCCGAACAUCUCCAUCAAUGGUUCCUAAGAGUUCAACAAUGUAAUUCGUAUAGAUAAGGUUUUUCUUUUUACUCAUAGCUUAUCUGGGGUAUAUCUUCCUUGCCCAUCCAUUUAAAACCUGAUGCAUUUCCAACCAGGAUAUACUCAACUUUCUCCUUAUUACUUUCAUCGUCCCAUUUCACAAUCCUUCUUCUCCUUCUUCCAAAGUGAGCCCUAAUACUUACCAUUUUGUAGUGUUAACAAUAUCACUCAACUUCCGCACACAAAUCCUCAAAUCUAGGUGUUGUCCAAACUUUUCCUAGCACACUCUUUAUUCUAAGAGCUUUGGCAUCGACAUAUACUUCUCCAUAAUUCCACCACUAGAGACAACCUAUUCAAUUAGAGAACUUAGUUCGCUCAAAACUUACUAGCCAUGCAUGGCGUAAUAAUAAGGUUUCAUAACUCUCUGAAGAAUCAUCCGU